AGUUGGUGGAGCGAUUUGUCUGGUUAAUUCCGAUAACGAACGAGACUCUAGCCUACUAAAUAGUAAGUCGAUCUUCACGUCGACCUUACUUCUUAGAGGGACAGACGGUGUCUAACCGUACGAAAUUGAGCAAUAACAGGU
rnacentral:rRNA from 1 species